rnacentral:rRNA from 1 species
GACGAACGCUGGCGGCGUGCUUAACACAUGCAAGUCGAACGGAAAGGCCCUGCUUGCAGGGUACUCGAGUGGCGAACGGGUGAGUAACACGUGGGUGAUCUGCCCUGCACUUCGGGAUAAGCCUGGGAAACUGGGUCUAAUACCGGAUAGAAGCCAUCUUUAGUGUGAUGGUUGGAAAGGUUUUUCGGUGUAGGAUGAGGUCGCGGCCUAGUAGCUUGUUGGUGGGGUAAUGGCCUACCAAGGCGGCGGCGGGUAGCCGGUCUGUGAGGGUGGCAGGCCAUCGUGAGACUGGUAGGCGGCCCAGAAGCCUACGAGAGGCCCAAACGGGGAAUAUUGCACGAUGCGGCAACGCCUGCUGCAGCAACGCCGCGGGGGGGAUGACGGCCUUCGGGUUGUACACACGUUUCGCUAUGGACGAAGCGUAGUGUGACGGUACCUAGAGAAUAAGCCCCGGCUAACUACGUG